rnacentral:tRNA from 1 species
ACUUUUAAAGGAUAGUAGUAAUCCG